UACGGGGGGGGCAAGCGUUGUUCGGAAUUACUGGGCGUAAAGGGCCAGUAGGCGGCCAACUAAGUCGGAUGUGAAAUCCCCAGGCUUAACCUGGGAACUGCAUCCGAUACUGGAUGGCUUGAAUUCGGGAGAGGGAUGCAGAAUUCCAGGUGUAGCGGUGAAAUGCGUAGAUAUCUGGAGGAAUACCGGUGGCGAAGGCGGCUCUCUGGAACGCAACUGACGCUGAGACGCGAAAGCGUGGGGAGCAAACAGG
rnacentral:rRNA from 1 species